AGCAGCCGCGGUAAUUCCAGCUCCAAUAGCGUAUAUUGAAGUUGUUGCAGUUAGAAAGCUCGUAGUUGAAUUUCGGGGUUAGUAGGUUGGUCAUGCCUCUGGUAUGUACUGGUCUCACUGAUUCCUCCUUCCUGAUGAACCGUAAUGCCAUUAAUUUGGUGUUGGCGGGGUAAUUUGGACUGUUACUUUAGAAAAAUUAGAGUAGUUUAAAGCAAGCUAACGCUUGAAUACAUUAGCAUGGAAUAAUGAAAUAGGACGUUCGAUCCUUAUUUUGUUGGUUUCUAGGAUUGACGUAAUGAUUAAUAGGGAUAGUUGGGGGGCAUUAGUAUUCAAUUGUCAGAGGUGAAAUUCUUGGAUUUAUUGAAGACUAACUACUGCGAAAGCAUUUGCCAAGGAUGUUUUCAUUAAUCAAGAACGA
rnacentral:sRNA from 1 species